GACGAACGCUGGCGGCGUGCUUAACACAUGCAAGUCGAACGGAAAGGCCCUGCUUGCCGGGUACUCGAGUGGCGAACGGGUGAGUAACACGUGGGUGAUCUGCCCUGCACUUCGGGAUAAGCCUGGGAAACUGGGUCUAAUACCGGAUAGGAGCCAUUUUUAGUGUGAUGGUUGGAAAGUUUUUUCGGUGUAGGAUGAGCUCGCGGCCUAUCAGCUUGUUGGUGGGGUAAUGGCCUACCAAGGCGGCGACGGGUAGCCGGCCUGAGAGGGUGGACGGCCACAUUGGGACUGAGAUACGGCCCAGACGCCUACGGGAGGCAGCAGGGGGGAAUAUUGCACAAGGGGCGCAAGCCUGAUGCAGCGACGCCGCGGGGGGGAUGACGGCCUUCGGGUUGUAAACUCCUUUCGCUAGGGACGAAGCUUUUUGUGACGGUACCUAGAUAAGAAGCACCGGCUAACUACGUG
rnacentral:rRNA from 1 species